ACGGGGAGCAGCAGGCGCGAAACCUUUACACUGCACGCCAGUGCGAUAAGGGAACCCCGAGUGAAAGGGCAUAUCGCCCUUUCUUUUCUGAACCGUAGGGAGGUUCAGGAACAAGAGCUGGGCAAGACCGGUGCCAGCCGCCGCGGUAAUACCGGCAGCCCGAGUGAUGGCCGAUAUUAUUGGGCCUAAAGCGUCCGUAGCUGGCCGCGCAAGUCCAUCGGGAAAUCCACCUGCUCAACAGGUGGGCGCCCGGUAGAAACUGCGUGGCUUGGGACCGGAAGGCGCGACGGGUACGUCCGGGGUAGGAGUGAAAUCCCGUAAUCCUGGACGGACCGCCGAUGGCGAAAGCACGUCGCGAGAACGGAUCCGACAGUGAGGGACGAAAGCCAGGGUCUCGAACCGGAUUAGAUACCCGGGUAGUCCUAGCUGUAAACGAUGCCCGCUAGGUGUGGCGCAGGCUACGAGCCUGCGCUGUGCCGUAGGGAAGCCGAGAAGCGGGCCGCCUGGGAAGUACGUCUGCAAGGAUGAAACUUAAAGGAAUUGGCGGGGGAGCAC
rnacentral:rRNA from 1 species